GACGAACGCUGGCGGCGUGCUUAACACAUGCAAGUCGAACGGAAAGGCCCUGCUUUUGUGGGGUGCUCGAGUGGCGAACGGGUGAGUAACACGUGAGUAACCUGCCCUUGACUUUGGGAUAACUUCAGGAAACUGGGGCUAAUACCGGAUAGGAGCUCCUGCUGCAUGGUGGGGGUUGGAAAGUUUCGGCGGUUGGGGAUGGACUCGCGGCUUAUCAGCUUGUUGGUGGGGUAGUGGCUUACCAAGGCUUUGACGGGUAGCCGGCCUGAGAGGGUGACCGGCCACAUUGGGACUGAGAUACGGCCCAGACUCCUACGGGAGGCAGCAGUGGGGAAUAUUGCACAAUGGGCGGAAGCCUGAUGCAGCAACGCCGCGUGCGGGAUGACGGCCUUCGGGUUGUAAACCGCUUUCGCCUGUGACGAAGCGUGAGUGACGGGAAUGGGAAAGAAGCACCGGCUAACUACGUG
rnacentral:rRNA from 1 species